rnacentral:tRNA from 1 species
AGAAUUUUAAGUUAUUUAAACUUAAAACCUUCAAAGUUUUCUAAAAAAGUUCAAACCUUUUAAAUUCUA